GUGUGAGGGGCUGGGGGAAGGAUGGUUUUGGCUUGUGAGAAGAAUUAAGGGCUGGAGCACUGAGGAUGCUGUAAGAAGAUGUUGAGACAGCCUUGUCAAAAUUACUGAGGAGACUUGCUUGUAAGUAAUUUUAUAAGAAGCUACUGUCAAAGACUGAGAUUGAGAAGUUUGGAUGACUCGACUUCUGACUUUGACUUCUGCCCAUUAUCGCAUACAUGAAAUUGGUUUUACUUUCAGGGAUGCCAAGUGCAGAGUGGAAUGGCCAUUGGUUCUAAGAAAAGGAUGGAUGUUGUGGGAAUCUCCUGGAAGCAGACAUGGAUCAGGCUCCCUGUGCAGCGGCAUUUGGAGCAUUGGGUGAUUGGCCAUGACUCCUGGACACUGCCACAAGAGGUAUAUUGUGCUAGAGAAUGUUAUCUGUG